GAAGCGGCAACAGCUCAAAUUUGAAAGCUAGCCUUCGGGUUCGCAUUGUAAUUUGUAGAGGAUGAUUUGGGGAAGCCGCCUGUCUAAGUUCCUUGGAACAGGACGUCAUAGAGGGUGAGAAUCCCGUAUGUGACAGGAAAUGGCACCCUAUGUAAAUCUCCUUCGACGAGUCGAGUUGUUUGGGAAUGCAGCUCUAAAUGGGAGGUAAAUUUCUUCUAAAGCUAAAUAUUGGCGAGAGACCGAUAGCGCACAAGUAGAGUGAUCGAAAGAUGAAAAGCACUUUGGAAAGAGAGUUAAAAAGCACGUGAAAUUGUUGAAAGGGAAGCGCUUGCAAUCAGACUUGUUUAAACUGUUCGGCCGGUCUUCUGACCGGUUUACUCAGUUUGGACAGGCCAGCAUCAGUUUCGGCGGCCGGAUAAAGGCUCUGGGAAUGUGGCCUCCACUUCGGUGGAGGUGUUAUAGCCCAGGGUGUAAUACGGCCAGCCGGGACUGAGGUCCGCGCUUCGGCUAGGAUGCUG
rnacentral:rRNA from 1 species